AUUGAACGCUGGCGGCAUGCCUUACACAUGCAAGUCGAACGGCAGCACGGGAGCAAUCCUGGUGGCGAGUGGCGAACGGGUGAGUAAAGUAUCGGAACGUGCCCAGUCGAGGGGGAUAACGCAGCGAAAGCUGUGGUAACACCGCCUACGCCCUGAGGGGGACAGCGGGGGACCGCAAGACCUCGAGUUAUAGGAGCGGCCGAUAUCUGGUUAGCUAGUUGGGGAGGUAAAGGCUGACCAAGGCGACGACCAGUAGUUGGUCUGAGCGGAUGAUCAGCCACAAUGGAACUGAGACACGGUCCAGACGCCUACGGGAGGCAGCAGUGGGGAAUUUUGGACAAUGGGGGAAACCCUGAUCCAGCCAUUCCGCGUGAGUGAAGAAGGCCUUCGGGUUGUAAAGCUCUUUCGGCAGGGAAGAAACGCUCUGGAUUAAUACUCCGGGGUAAUGACGGUACCUGAAGAAGAAGCACCGGCUAACUACGUGCCAGCAGCCGCAGUAA
rnacentral:rRNA from 1 species